rnacentral:rRNA from 1 species
GACGUAGGGGGCCAGCGUUGCUCGGAAUAACUGGGCGUAAAGGGUCCGUAGGCGGUGUGGCAAGUUGGGAGUGAAAUCUCUGGGCUUAACCCAGGGGCUGCUUCCAAAACUGCCGUGCUAGAGUGCGAGAGAGGUGAGUGGAAUUGCAGGUGUAGCGGUGAAAUGCGUAGAUAUCUGCAGGAACACCCGUGGCGAAGGCGGCUCACUGGAUCGCAACUGACGCUGAGGGACGAAAGCUAGGGGAGCAAACAGG